UAUUAAUGUUUUAAUAUUACAUAUGUAAUAACCAUGUUAUGUAUGUAACAUACAUACUAUAAUCAUAUGUACUAUUACAUUAUCAUUCCAGACUGGCAUGCACCUGUGACUUACAUAAACCAGACCUCUACAUAGCCUACAUGUCUUCAUUUUGCUGGAGACUGCCCAUCAUCCUAGCCUGUUAUCUGUGAUAAAGCACACUGAAGUUAGGUUUGGAAUGCAUCCUUAUCAUGAAUGCUCUACACCUCCACCUCCAUCUCCCACAACCUAGGUAACAGCUUUGAGACUCACUAAAAGUUGGUAAGUUAUGUAAGGAAUUUCUAAAUUAAGUUUUAUACUACAUGUUAUAUGUGAUAUUAAACCACUGUAUGGUGCAUAUUACUGUAUGUAACUUACUAUGCAUAGAGUACUUACUGACAUACUAAUUAUUUUUUGUACAUUCCAGAACCCCCUGAAUGAUGUAGGCUAUGGGGCCACAUAAGACUUUGUCCAUCCAGGGUUACGAUGAAUGCAAAAUAUAAACUAAAGAACCCCCUGAAUGAUGUAGGCUAUGGGGCCACAUAAGACUUUGUCCAUCCAGGGUUACGAUGAAUGCAAAAUAUAAACUAAAGAACCCCCUGAAUGAUGUAGGCUAUGGGGCCACAUAAGACUUUGUGCAUCCAGGGUUACGAUGAAUGCAAAAUAUAAACUAAAG